CUUUGGGGGGGUUCUUGCAGGAAACCUAACUGCCCAACUGAAUUUGAGACAACAGCAGCAGGUGCAGGCACUUAACUGAAAAAUGUAAAGAUCUCCUCAAUUUAAGGCUAUAUAGCUGCAUUGGGCGCAGAUGACAGGACUGCUUACUUACACAAGACUUCACCCUCCCUACACCUCUGAUGAAUAUAACAGGACACCUGUUCAAUCACCAUGCACUGAAAAAUCAUGUUGCGGAUGGAUACGGAGAACACCAACACAUUAACAUCAACACGCCAGAGGAUAGGCCUAUUGGACUUGGGGCUGGGAGUUUAUCUCAUAUUUAGAUUUUUUUUCAAAUGAUGCCUAGCCGCUAAAAUCAUAAUAAACACUGACAACUAAAAUAUUGUUGUUAUU